GGUUAAAUAUUCAAUUAUGAUAUGAGAUUGCAAAUCUCAAGGUGAAUUAUAUUCUUUAAUUU
rnacentral:tRNA from 1 species